UACGUAGGGGGCUAGCGUUGUCCGGAAUCAUUGGGCGUAAAGAGCGUGUAGGCGGCUUGGUAAGUCCGCUGUGAAAGUCCAGGGCUCAACCCUGGAAUGCCAGUGGAUACUGUCAAGCUAGAGUCCGGAAGAGGCGAGUGGAAUUCCUGGUGUAGCGGUGAAAUGCGCAGAUAUCAGGAGGAACACCGAUGGCGAAGGCAGCUCGCUGGGACGGUACUGACGCUGAGACGCGAAAGCGUGGGGAGCAAACAGG
rnacentral:rRNA from 1 species